UACGUAGGGGGCUAGCGUUGUCCGGAAUCAUUGGGCGUAAAGCGCGUGUAGGCGGCUCGGUAAGUCCGCUGUGAAAGUCGGGGGCUCAACCCUCGAAUGCCGGUGGAUACUGUCGGGCUAGAGUGCGGAAGAGGCGAGUGGAAUUCCUGGUGUAGCGGUGAAAUGCGCAGAUAUCAGGAGGAACACCAAUUGCGAAGGCAGCUCGCUGGGACGUAACUGACGCUGAGACGCGAAAGCGUGGGGAGCAAACAGG
rnacentral:rRNA from 1 species